rnacentral:rRNA from 1 species
AGAGUUUGAUCAGUGGCUCGAGGACGAACGCUGGCGGCGUGCUUAACACAUGCAAGUCGAACGGUAAGGCCCUUCGGGGUACACGAGUGGCGAACGGGUGAGUAACACGUGGGAGAUCUGCCCUGCACUUCGGGAUAAGCCUGGGAAACUGGGUCUAAUACCGGAUAGGACCAUGGACUUCACGGUUUGUGGUGGAAAGCUUUUGCGGUGUGGGAUGGGCCCGCGGCCUAUCAGCUUGUUGGUGGGGUAAUGGCCUACCAAGGCGACGACGGGUAGCCGGCCUGAGAGGGUGUCCGGCCACACUGGGACUGAGAUACGGCCCAGACUCCUACGGGAGGCAGCAGUGGGGAAUAUUGCACAAUGGGCGCAAGCCUGAUGCAGCGACGCCGCGUGAGGGACGACGGCCUUCGGGUUGUAAACCUCUUUCAAUAGGGACGAAGCGCAAGUGACGGUACCUAUAGAAGAAGCACCGGCCAACUACGUG